AUUGAACGCUGGCGGCAGGCCUAACACAUGCAAGUCGAGCGAGUGGCGGACGGGUGAGUAAUGUCUGGGAAACUGCCUGAUAGAGGGGGAUAACUACUGGAAACGGUAGCUAAUACCGCAUACUAUCGGAUGUGCCCAUAUGGGAUUAGCUAGUUGGUGGGGUAAAGGCUCACCAAGGCGACGAUCCCUAGCUGGUCUGAGAGGAUGACCAGCCACACUGGAACUGAGACACGGUCCAGACUCCUACGGGAGGCAGCAGUGGGGAAUAUUGCACAAUGGGCGCAAGCCUGAUGCAGCCAUGCCGCGUGUAUGAAGAAGGCCUUAGGGUUGUAAAGUACUUUCAGCGGGGAGGCGUUACCCGCAGAAGAAGCACCGGCUAACUCCGUGCCAGCAGCCGCGGUAAUUC
rnacentral:rRNA from 1 species